GAAAAGAACUUACAGACGGACGGUCAACGUGUUUGUACUUAACAGUGAAUAGUUUCCUAACCUUUCGCAUCUGAAAAGCAUAUUUCCUUUUUCUUCUCAAAAUUUUUUAUUUUCUUUCAAAGACACAGAAACCAAAAAUUUUGUAGCUUGCUCAAACAAUGGUUCAGUUUCUUGGCGCAAUUCGUGUAUCUCCUUCUCUUGCUCUAGCCAGUUUUGUACCUCACAGGCGUCAAUUCUCUUUCCAGAGUUCUUCACUUGCGCUUUCGAGAAAUGGGCUCUCUUCAUUUUCGCUUUCCAGAAAUGGGUUCUCUCCGUUCAAGAAGAUUAUGCGAGCUUGCUUUAUUUCAAAUGCAAGUGGAAAUGCUGAUGCACAGUCGCCCAAAGACCAAUCUGAAAUCAUAUUCAUGGGGACAGGAACUAGUGAAGGGGUUCCCCGUGUCAGCUGUCUUACUAAUCCUUUAAAGAAAUGUCCGGUGUGCUCAAAAGCUGUGGAACCUGGUAACAAAAACAGGAGACUGAACACAAGCCUUCUUAUUCGUUAUUCUGGUCCUGGUGGAAUAUGCAACAUUCUAAUAGAUGCUGGCAAGUUUUUCUACCAUAGUGCUCUUCGAUGGUUUCCCGAUUUCGGGCUAAGAACAAUUGAUGCGGUUAUUAUUACUCAUUCUCAUGCUGAUGCAAUUGGAGGUCUGGAUGAUCUUCGGGAUUGGACAAACAAUGUCCAGCCUCACAUUCCGAUAUAUGUGGCACGGCGUGAUUUUGAGGUGAUGAAGAAGACUCAUUAUUAUUUGGUGGAUACAAGUGUGAUUAUACCUGGAGCUGCUGUCUCAGAGUUACAAUUUAACAUCAUACAUGAGGAGCCAUUUGAUGCGUGUGAUUUGAAGUUUACUCCAUUACCAGUGUGGCAUGGCAGUGGUUAUCGUUCCCUUGGUUUUCGCUUUGGUAACAUAUGUUACAUCAGUGAUGUUAGCGAGAUACCUGAAGAAACUUAUCCACUACUCAAGGACUGUGAAAUUCUGAUUUUGCUUAUAUGUCAGUUAAUUCAUUCAGGAUGCUCUGAGGCCUGACCGAUCUUCUUCAACACAUUUCGGGCUUCCAAGGGCCUUAGAUGAAGUGCGAAAAAUUAAACCAAAGAGAACACUUUUCACUGGCAUGAUGCACUUGAUGGAUCAUGAGAAAGUAAAUGAAUAUCUUUUGAAAUUAAAGGAGACAGAAGGGCUUGAUGUACAACUAAGCUAUGAUGGGUUGAGGAUACCAGCAACACUUUAACUUCUACCUUAUUUCUACUUCCGUAUUCUUUUUCUCAAUAAAUACACUGCUUGAAAUGUCAAUCAGUUCCUCAUGAACUUGUAUGAUAUCAAUUUCAUAUCUUUUUUGAGUAAAGCACAAUGUGAUUUUCGUCCGUCCGGCAUCGAUGCUUGCCUGGUCUUCAUGUGUCAAGCUAGAAUCCCAGGUAAUUUUUUUGGAACUGAUUAUUUAUUAGAAAUUCUAAUGGCAACUAAAAUGAAUUAUUACUUAUAAAUGUAGAAAUAAUUGGCUUGUUGCUUGUGGCUCUUCAGGAGUUGCUCAGAACUUUUAGAAAUGCUUGGAUAGUACUUACUCAAUAGUCUCUGUGUCCUUUUAUCAGUGCACUAAUGAAAAGGCAUUGACUCCUCAAUUAUUUUGCUCUCUAUCCCUGAAAACUUCCAUAUGUGGUUUUGUAAUGAUAUACUUGUCGGUUGCAAUAAAUACUUUUUUUUGUUUUGAA